GGCUCUUGGCUGCAUUUUGUCUUAGGCAAUGGGGACGCAGGCAGACCUGUGACAGCGCCAUUCCAACGCCUGGGUCCAACUCCGCCCUCCGUCUGGUUCUGUCUCCAGACCCCGGCUCACAGGUUCCUUCUGGCCUUCAAGGCUAAGCUCUCUGGUAGCUGCCUCGUCCCCUCUGGUCUGUCGGAGGCAGUCCUCCUGGCCUCACAGGCGGCCUUGCUAAGACGCUCCGCCCCCGGCUCAUCUAAACUCCUCGGGCAAACUCCAGGUGCACGAGGCCACCUUCCCCAAAGGCAGGACGUGGCUGCUGCGGGAAGAACACGUUCUGUCAAAGACGACUCUGCCACGUCUGCAUGGAGGCCCAGCCCCCAGUCUCACAGAGAAGUUAAAGACCUGCCACGUCUGCAUGGAGGCCCAGCCCCCAGUCUCACAGAGAAGUUAAAGACCUGCCGUGGCGCGCAGAUUCCACCACUGCAUUCGUGGUGCUGGCUGUGCCACGCACCUGCCCGCCUGGCCACCCAGCCACCCACACUUCCAGUUGUGUGUUUUUGGAUGCAUUGGCCCUAAACACUUCAGUACACAAAUUCUUAACUGAAGUCAAUCUUUUUUAAAGGCUUUUUUCUUGUUUUUUUUUUUUUUUUUUUGAGAUAAAAUUUGGAAACAAGUAAAGACACAAAUAGGAGCAGCAACAUUUUGCAUUCUCCUGUGCAUUCUUUUUUAAGAUUUAUUUAUUUUAUUUGAAAGUCAGAGUUACACAUAGAGAGGCAGAGAGAGAGAGAGAGAGAGAGAGGUCUUCCAUCUGCUGGUUCAUGCCCAGGUGGCUGCAACGGCGGAGCUGUGCUGAUCUGAGCCAGGAGCCAGGGAGCGUCUUCCGGGUCUCCCACGUGGGUGCAGGGGCCCAAGCACUUGGGUCAUCUCCACUGCUAUCCCAGGCCACAGCAGAGAGCUGGACCGGAAGUGGAGCAGCCAGGACCUGAACUGGUGCCCAUAUGGGAUACUGGCACUGCAGGGGGCAGCUUUACCCGCUACGCCACAGCGCCAGCCUGAAGAUUUAUUUAUUUAUUUUGAUGAA
rnacentral:lncRNA from 1 species